rnacentral:lncRNA from 1 species
GUUAGAAGAGCACACAUAGAGGCUGGCGGUUGGUUACCCCUCUUUGCUGUCUAACGCAGCAGAGCUUUGAGAUGGACGCUGCGAUGCUAUGUGAGGUCUUAGUGUGCUUUGGACUGUAUCACACAGAGGUCGUGGCUUCUGCUUCUUCUGAGGAUGCUUGAAUUUAAAGACAGAACCCAGGGAUUUUUUUUUUUCUUUAAAGAAAUGCCUUGUAGAAGAGGACAUUUCUACAAUUGCUUGCACCAAGGACAAUUCUUUGAUAAUAUUUUAAUGUUGUUGUUUUGGCUUCAUCUGAAUGUAAGUUCAAGGCUGAGAAACAGACUUAAAACAACCCCAGAUUCAGUCCUGCUGAUUCAGGCACCAGAGAUGCCCUUUCCGCAUUCCCUGGAAGUUACAGUCUGGGGUUCCCUGCUCCUGUUCCCUGCUCUUCUUCACCUGAGGCCACGGAGUGGGGGCAGCUCCUCAUGGGAGGAAGAUGGCCUUCUCCUCACGAGGCAUUGGUUCGGGUGAUUAAUGCUGCUGUUGGGUCUUCGCUGCUGUCCUGUGACUAAGCCGAUCCCAAGUGCCUCCGGCAAAGACCAGUCCUUCAUCUCCGAAGAGCGUCUGUUAACCUCUCUCGAUGGAUACCAAGUUGGGACUUUAAGCACAGCCAUGAAUCUCAGAGCAACAUGUCCAAGACUCAAGUACAGGCAAUAUAGCCAGCCUGCCCGUGAGGCACUGAGGGAGAUGAAGAAGGUUGGAGGUCUGGAAAAUGGUGGAAUGCCUUGGACUGGAGGACCACAAGCCACUGGUUUCAUCAUUCAGCGACCUAUAAAUCAGAUGGAUGUGGAAAUAGAGAGGAGGAGGGCUUUCCAGCUCCAGCUGAGGAAAGGGUGUCACCUGCCUUGCGGAGGCAUCUUCUCAUCUGGUCCUCAUGGUCAGUUUUGAUUUGAACUAUGUUCUGUGACAUGGUUUUUAUGGACCCCACACAGGGGAAGAAUAUGUUUCAGGCAGCCUUGCUGUGGUCACAAAUAGUCUCUAAGCCUCCAUGUAUGUGGUGAUGGUUUAGUUGCUAAGUUGUGUCCAACUCUUUGUGACCCCAUGGACUGUAGUCUGCCAGCUCCUCUGUCCAUGGGAUUUCCCAGGCACAAAUACUGAAGUGGGUUACCAUUUCCUUCUCCAGGGGAUCUUCCUGACCCAGGAAUCAAGCCCAGGUCUCCUGCACUGCAGACAGUCUCUUUUGCAUUGCAGGUGGAUUCCUUACUGACUGAGCCACCAGGGAAGCCCCCUGGUCUCCAAUAAUGUUGAUUUCCUCUCGACAUCUCCUGCUGGUGACCACGGUUGGCUGUGACUGCCAUGGUUCAACUCGGGUCAGCUUGGCCUUGCAUCAAAUGUCUGGUUCUUGGACUUAGGCUGAAGGAACAGUAUCCACCAGGACAAGCUAUCCUUGUAGAGAAGGAAAGCACACGGAGGCUGGUGGAAAGCCUACACUUCUGCACCCAAUCGUAUUUGCACCCACGUUCUGAGUCCCAUAAAGCCACAAGGCUGAGCUGUCCGAUGGGGUAGGGAGAGGUGUCCUGUCUCCUAGGAGGCAACACAAGCCACAGAACAGCAGCAUGAAGGCCUUCUUUCAGGCAAGGGGAUGAACAUGUGGGGACAGUCACAUGGUCGUCCCAGUGUGUCUAUGCUCACGAGACUUCUUGCUCAGUUUUAUAGAAAUCCCGGGUACAUUGAGCUUUAGUGAGUCAGAAGUGUUGGUGCGUCUAAAGCCAAUGCACUGGGUUUUUAUCCGCAGCCAUUUCUCAUCUGCACAGAGUGCUCUUCAGUGUUUUCCAGGGCAUCAUUUGUCCUUCAGACUGAUGUUUUCAAAGGUGAGUUUAACUGAGAGCUAAGCUGGACUGAAACAAAAAGGUUUUUCUUAUAUUUGGGUGUUCUCUGGAAAAAAAAA